AUUGAACGCUGGCGGCAGGCCUAACACAUGCAAGUCGAGCGGAUGAAGGGAGCUUGCUCCUGGAUUCAGCGGCGGACGGGUGAGUAAUGCCUAGGAAUCUGCCUGGUAGUGGGGGAUAACGCCCGGAAACGGGCGCUAAUACCGCAUACGUCCUGAGGGAGAAAGUGGGGGAUCUUCGAACCUCACGCUAUCAGAUGAGCCUAGGUCGGAUUAGCUAGUUGGUGGGGUAAAGGCCUACCAAGGCGACGAUCCGUAACUGGUCUGAGAGGAUGAUCAGUCACACUGGAACUGAGACACGGUCCAGGCUCCUACGGGAGGCAGCAGUGGGGAAUAUUGGACAAUGGGCGAAAGCCUGAUCCAGCCAUGCCGCGUGUGUGAAGAAGGUCUUCGGAUUGUAAAGCACUUUAAGUUGGGAGGAAGGGCAGUAAGUUAAUACCUUGCUGUUUUGACGUUACCAACAGAAUAAGCACCGGCUAACUUCGUG
rnacentral:rRNA from 1 species